rnacentral:rRNA from 1 species
AACGCGAAGAACCUUACCUGGGUUGGAACCCCCCGGAACCCUUCAGAGAUGGAGGGGUGCCCGCAAGGGAACCGGGUGUCCAGGUGCUGCAUGGCUGUCGUCAGCUCGUGUCGUGAGAUGUUGGGUUAAGUCCCGCAACGAGCGCAACCCUUGUCGUUAGUUGCUAACGGUUCGGCCGAGCACUCUAACGAGACUGCCGGUGCUAAACCGGAGGAAGGUGGGGAUGACGUCAAGCCCUCAUGGCCCUUAUGCCCAGGGCUACACACGUGCUACAAUGGCCGUUACAAAGCGUCGCUAACCCGCGAGGGGGAGCUAAUCGCAAAAAAGCGGCCUCAGUUCAGAUUGCAGUCUGCAACUCGACUGCAUGAAGUUGGAAUCGCUAGUAAUCCCUGAUCAGCAGGCAGGGGUGAAUACGUUCCCGGGCCUUGUACACACCG